rnacentral:lncRNA from 1 species
CAAUCACCAUAUACUACACCUGAACAAACAACAGAAAUAUUAAGCCAAAAAUAAAAAAUAAAAAAAUAAAAAAAAUAAAAGUAAAAUAAAAUAAAACUUAACAGAAACUAAUUAAACAACAAAAAAGAAAAGAAAGUAAGUAAACCUAGAUGAAUUAAAAAAAACACCUGCUGCAGGUAAGGCUAGGGCCAUGUGUGCAAUUGGUGCCAAAGGUUGGAAAAUAGAUGUGCUGCUCUCAGGAUCACGGAACAAAUCCUUAAGAAAAGUAUCACCAAGGUUGGAAUCUUGUGCUAAAUAUUUUUCUCUAGCUAACUUCCUUGCACUUCUCUCUGGUUCAGGGUCGUAAGGAAUAAGCACUUGAUUCUUGGAUCUUGUUCCAAUCACCAUAUACUACACCUGAACAAACAACAGAAAUAUUAAGCCAAAAAUAAAAAAUAAAAAAUAAAAAUAAAAAUAAAAGUAAAAUAAAAUAAAACUUAACAGAAACUAAUUAAACAACAAAAAAGAAAAGAAAGUAAGUAAACCUAGAUGAAUUAAAAAAAACACAAUUUAUGCAAAUUGGCAACCACUAGUUAGUUAAACAAAGACAAAAAUCUCACACCACACAUCCACUGCACUUAAUCAAAGAUCAAAAC